rnacentral:tRNA from 1 species
GCCCGGCUAGCUCAUCCGGUACAGCGUUGGACUUUUAAUCCAACGGACAAGGGUUCAACUCCCUUAUCGGGCU